rnacentral:lncRNA from 1 species
CAGAGUCACUCAUUCCGCCACGGUUAAAUUCGGUAUUAGUCACUAUGAAGACCGCUAUUUUAUUGUUCUUUUGUUUGGUACAGUGUUUUACUUUACAAGAUUUUGGAAAUAGACAAAAACUCGAUUCUGGCAAUCCAUUAGGAAAUAUUUCAAUUGAAGAUUUAAUCUAUCAAAGAGGUAUUU